UGCAAUCUGUGAUGCAAACAAUCCCAAGUUACUGAUUUUCUGUGAUUAAUAACAGUUAUCACCAUCUUUCGGCUGAGGUUGCA